UCCGGUUUGACACCGGCAGUCUCGUUAGAGUCCUCGCCAUGACGCGUUAGUAACUAACGAUAGGGGUUGCGCUCGUUAAGGGACUUAACCCGACACUUCACAGCACGAGCUGACGACAGCCAUGCAGCACCUGUGCACGUUCCACCCAAAGGGUGUGGCCUAUCUUUCGAUAAGUUAAUCCGUGCAUGUCAAGCCUAGGUAAGGUUCUUCGCGUUGCCUCGAAUUAAGCAACAUGCUCCACCGCUUGUGUGAGCCCCCGUCAAUUCCUUUGAGUUUUAGCCUUGCGACCGUACUCCCCAGGCGGCACACUAAUCAGUUUACCUUCGACCGAGAAAGCGUGAGAGCUCCCCCGAUCUAGUGUGCAUCGUUUACGGCGUGGACUAC
rnacentral:misc_RNA from 1 species